CCCUGCCCCGCCCACCCGCCCUUGGGCCCGACCCCACCUCGGCCUCCGGGCAGGAGUGGGGGGGGGGGCGAGGGAGCGUGGUAACUCGUGCCGAAGGCGGGAGAAAGUUCUAGUCCCAACUCCAACCAGGGUGGCCACCUUCACACGCUUCCCUCAGCCAUCGCCGCCCUCCAGACAAAGCGCCCUGUGCGCCCCUGGGGGCCGCCCAUUGGAGCCCAAGGAGCCCGGGCCUGGCCGGAGUGAGGGCGCAGAGCGGGGCUGAGUUUCCUGGGAGAAAGGAGAGGCCAGGAAAAGUGUCCCAAACCAACCAUCUCCAAAGGAAUCGCGUUCCACCUCACUCCCAGGGAAGGGGUUUCAAGCCUUCUCAUGCCACAGCGUCUGGGCUGUUCAGGAUGGCGACUAUGGGUGUCUAACACUGCAAACAAAGCUUGAGAGAGGCACAUAAGACUUUCCAGUUAGAAACCUCUUCUUGCUCAGGGAUGAAGGAUGAAGAAAGAUAUAUCGUGUUGGG